rnacentral:misc_RNA from 1 species
UUAUGUUAUCAGUGUCUCUUAGAGAUUCAGAACUAAGGAUAUUUGCAGUGUUUUCUUGUUGACUUUAUGUUUAAUAGGCUUCUAUUAAUGUACAAUACAUCUGGAGUAGUGGAGUUGACGUUAUUUUUCGACUUCUUAAUGCUUCUUUUAGGACCCAAAUAUGUCGGCUGUUGUAAGAAUUUGCAUGACAGUUCUUCGGGUUCUUUUGAAUUCUAUUUCAAUUCUAUAUUCUCUUAUUUCUCACAAAAA